rnacentral:rRNA from 1 species
AUCAUGGAGAGUUUGAUCCUGGCUAAGAACGAACGCUGGCGGCGCGUCUUAAGCAUGCAAGUCGAACGGCAAGAUUGGUGCUUGCACCGAUCCUAGAGUGGCGGACUGGUGAGUAACGCGUGGGUGACGUACCCUAAGGAUGGGGAUAGCUGGUAGAAAUAUCAGA